rnacentral:rRNA from 1 species
GACGAACGCUGGCGGCGUGCUUAACACAUGCAAGUCGAACGGAAAGGCCCUGCUUUUGUGGGGUGCUCGAGUGGCGAACGGGUGAGUAACACGUGAGUAACCUGCCCUUGACUUUGGGAUAACUUCAGGAAACUGGGGCUAAUACCGGAUAGGAGCUCCUGCUGCAUGGUGGGGGUUGGAAAGUUUCGGCGGUUGGGGAUGGACUCGCGGCUUAUCAGCUUGUUGGUGGGGUAGUGGCUUACCAAGGCUUUGACGGGUAGCCGGCCUGAGAGGGUGACCGGCAACAUUGGGACUGAGAUACGGCACAGACUCCUACGGGAGGCAGCAGUGGGGAAUAUUGCACGAUGGGCGGAAGCCUGAUGCAGCAACGCCGCGUGCGGGAUGACGGCCUUCGGGUUGUAAACCGCUUUCGCCUGUGACGAAGCGUGAGUGACGGUAAUGGGUAAAGAAGCACCGGCUAACUACGUG